AUGGUGCAGGAAAGACAUCCCCAACGGAAGGGAGUCUGCUGGACUCUGAGACUCUGGUCAACUGCUGUGAUUUCCAUGUUGCUCCUCAGCACCUGUUUCAUUGCGAGCUGUAUGGUGACUUACCAGUUCACGAUGGAGAAGCCCAAUAGAAGACUGUCUGAACUUCACACAUAUCAUUCCAGUCUCACCUGCUGCAGUAAAGGGACUAUGGUGUCAGAAAAACUGUGGGGAUGCUGCCCAAAUCACUGGAAGUCAUUUGGCUCUAGCUGCUACCUCAUUUCUACCAAGGAGAACUUCUGGAGCAUCAGUGAACAGAACUAUAUUCAUAUGGGAGCUCAUCUGGUGGUGAUCAAUACUGAAACUGAACAGAAUUUCAUCACCCAACAGCUGAACGAGUCACUUUCUUACUUUCUGGGUCUUUCUGAUCCACAAGGUAACAGCAAAUGGCAAUGGAUUGAUAAUACUCCUUUCAGUCAAAACGUCAGGUUCUGGCACCCCCAUGAGCCCAAUCUUCCGGAAGAGUGGUGUGCUUCAAUAGUUUACUGGAAUCCUUCGAAAUGGGGCUGGAAUGAUGUUUUCUGUGAUAGUAAACACAAUUCAAUAUGUGAAACGAAGAAGAUUUACCUAUGAGUGCAUGUUAAUAACGUUAAAGUUCAGGCCCACCAAGAAACCAAAACUUCUUGAUGUGUACAUCUGACUAUAGCCAUUUUUUCCCUAGCUGCUUCUCUCCACUGCUGACAGAAUGAGUCCUUUCUUUUUCUGAUGGUUAGAGUUUUGUCAACUUGAUACAAACUAGAGUCACCUGAAAAGUAGGAUCCUCAGCUAAGGAAAUGUCUCCAUCAGCUUGACCAGUCAGCAUGUCUGUGGGGCAUUAUCUUGAUUAAUGAUUGUUGUAAGAGUGUCCAGGGGGUAAGCAAAACUGCAAAAGCCGUGAAGAGCAAGCCAGGGAGAAUCCUCCCUCCAUCUCUGCCUUCAGGUUUCUGCCCCAGGGUCUUGCCCUGGCUUCUUUCCAUAAUGACUGUUGUUACUUGAAAGUAUAAGACGAAUAAAAAUAAAC